rnacentral:pre_miRNA from 1 species
AGUGCAAUUGCUGGACAUAUGGUAUGUUUACUUUUAUGAAAAAUUAGCAAACUUCUUUACAAAAGAACUGCAUCAUUUUGUAUUCCCAACAGCAGU